rnacentral:rRNA from 1 species
GUCUCAGUUCGGAUUGUAGUCUGCAACUCGACUACAUGAAGCUGGAAUCGCUAGUAAUCGCAGAUCAGAAUGCUGCGGUGAAUACGUUCCCGGGUCUUGUACACACCGCCCGUCACACCAUGGGAGUCGGAAAUGCCCGAAGCCGGUGACCCAACCAAAAGGAGGGAGCCGUCGAAGGCAGGUCUGAUAACUGGGGUGAAGUCGUAACAAGGUAAC